rnacentral:ncRNA from 1 species
CAUUAAUAAACAAAGUGAACUGAAACAUCUUAGUAACUUUAGGAAAAGAAAUCAAAAGAGAUUCUAUUAAUAGCGUGAGUGAAAGUAGAGUAGUCUAUCAAGUCAAAUGGUUAAUAAACUGUUUAAAUAAAUGGGGAACCUUCCUCAAAGACUAAAUAUG